GAAAUCAGCAACAUAGAGCACUUGAGACCUCUCUGAUGACCUUUCUAUACCUGUGAAGUUUGAAUAAACCAAAUAACACCACCAUGGGAUUAAACUAAAUUUUAAGGCCACUUGGGAGAUCAUAAAAUGCUUACACAUUUAACUCUUGGUUUGGUUUUUUUGCUCUACUUGUGUCUUAGUCAUUUCUACACCUCUGAAAGCGUUCUGCACUCCCAGCUGCUCUGCCAAGAGAAUCUCUAAGAUCCACGCUAAUUACAUGGGUGGGUUUGGUGACCACAGCUUAAAUUUCAAAUGGCAAUAUGCAGAUCUUGAAUAUUUUCUGUUCUAUAUCAGAGCUGCAUGAUUUUGGAACACCUCAGUUUGAGCUUCAGUAGCAUACAGGAUUUGUCUUUUAAUAACUCAGUGUAGGAGAACUGCAGUACCCCAACCGUCUGCUUUCUGCUGAACUCCCUGAAGUAGCCAAUUUUGUCUUGCAGACGUGGCUGCUGCACAUGCUGAGUGCUGAUUGCAAGUAUUAUCUUAAGAGAAUCACUUCUCAAUAUUUAGGAACGUGACUCUUCUUUCAAAGGCAUGCUUUUGGGCUUUUAUACCCCUGCUGGCUUCAUCUCACCAGGAGCUACCUGUCAGACGCCAUCCUUCAGUUCCACAGCUGCCUUUGCUGCCGGCUGUGUUUAUCAAAAAAAAAAAAAAAAAUGGGAGGAAGAAGAGGACUGGAAAAAACCCAACAAUCUGCACCUUCUUAAGAAGCAAAGAAAGCAGCCUGGCAAGAAAAAGAAAACCUGUGUUCUAGUGCAAGCAGGGUCUGAGAAGGGCCUGAAACCAAGACUCAGAGCCUUUGGGCAGCCUAAUCUGCCUUACAGAGAGCUCAUGAAAAUUGAAUGCAGGCUGCUGCUGUAAAAUAUGGUUUGCCUGUCUCUCCUGUGCUAUACAUAUUUGCUUUCUGAUUGCCCUGAAGACUUCAGAAUAAAUUCCGUACUGUGUGGCA
rnacentral:lncRNA from 1 species